rnacentral:lncRNA from 1 species
UUUGCAGGUGAUGAAUGGCCAAGUGGUAGUUAUGGUCUCGCUAGAUCUAAAUCAGGAUGUCCAGGUGGUAAGGAAAAUGGAUGGCAUGAGGGCUGGAGGUUUCAAGAUAUGGAAGACAGUGGUAAGAGUACCAGUGAGCGAUCAAGAGUAUCUAUUGGGUCACAUAUGGAUGUCACAUUAGUUAGAGAUGUAAACAGGAAAUUCUGCAUCAAACAAAAUACUGGAACACAAACAAGGUUUUGGCCUAAAGGUAAGGUUUUCUAUAUGCAUACACGGACUACCUAUGAUACAGCCAUGCAUAUGUUACAGUAUGAACUCCUGGGAUUCUACAAGGGGCAUUUCGAUACAAAUGGAUGACUGAAUGGCAUGGGGGAGAACAGACCAACGGGAUUUUCAAAACAAUGAAAAUACAAUAUCAAUGAAACUUUCCGACCACCCUGGGUUGUGAUUUGAUGGCAUAAUUCGUAUACUAAGUGUUCUUUACAGAAUCUAAACUAAAGCCUCACAAUAUUCGCUGCAGUCAUUGCUCUCAAAAAAUGAACAAAACCUCUAGCCCUCAUGGCACCAGACUGAUGCAUCCCGUUCCUCAUGCCUUCAGAAUAAUUUUAUAAUAGAAAAUUUAAGCUUCACGUUUCCGGGAACGGCAAACAGCAGGUUGGAACUUUCUUGGCAAAAUUUUCGUUCAACGUUUUCGUUUCAUAUUUUCUUCCUUGCGUCGAAAGGAUAAUUUUGUAUUUCACUUUUAAAACAGCAAGUUCACUUUGUCUUUACUGCCUGAUACUGUAAACGUUUUCUUUGCCUGGCGUUUGCCGUUUGACGUAUAACGCGAAGCUUAAACUUUGUAAUAUCUUCAUUCCUCAUGUCAUCAGAAUGAUUUGUUUUAAUCAAAAUUAUCUCUUUAUGUUGUAUACGUUUUUGAAUGAUUUCCCCUCGAAAUGUAUUUUUGUUUUGACAGGUUCAUAUUGUAUUUACAAGAGUGGAACGUGUCCGAACAAUAUGAGAUCAGGCUGGGUGUUCUGGGAUGAUGAAAAUAAUGGGAACAUAAAUAAAUACGGAGGUUUUCUACCAGAUGGUGUAUAUGAUAAAAAAGAUACCAGGAUAUACUAUUGUUGUCAAACUGAUGGUAACUGGUAUGAUUCAAUUGAACUGCCAGUCAGUCAACCAUUUCAUUUAUUAACAUCUAACUCUACUGACACUCCCAAAUGUCAGAUGGUGAAGUGGGCAUUUAGUUACUUGGAGUAUAUUGUGUUUGAUACAGAAGAUAGCCAUAAUAAAAAUGACCAGGGAGGGGAACAUUUGUUUUUGGAUGGAGAGAAGAAAUACUAUUGUUACUAUGAAG